rnacentral:rRNA from 1 species
CGUUGAGAAGUACAUUGUGCAAGUCAAUGUGUUUUGAAAAAGAAUCUUGUUAUUUAUAUGAAUAUUGUAUAGUAAGAGGUUUUAAUAAAAUUAUUUUGAAAUAAUUUUUGUUUUAGUAAAUUGAAUUGAAAUAAAAGAUAUAAGGCUAUAGUGAAGAGUACUGUAAAGGAAGGAUGAAAUAUAUUGAAAAAUUAAUUGAUGGAAAGUAGUGUUUAAGAUUCGUACCUUGUGUAUUAGGGAAUACUAAAAUUAUCUUGAAAUUUAAGGGGUCCCGAAAGAAGAAGAGUUAAUUCAAUAAGAAAGUUUUCGUUUUAAUGAAAUUUUUAAUUUUGUGUUAGUGGUGAAAUGUCAGUCGGUUCUUCAUAUCUGGUUAUUAACGAAUAGAAUUAAAUUUGUUUAUUUUUUGAUAAGAAAAGUUAAAGGAUAGGUAAGAGUAGGAGGGAAGAGCUUCUUGUUCUAUUAUAAGUAAAUGGUAAUUUGAAAUAUAUAAUUAGUGUUAAAUUAGGCUUAAAAGCAGCAAUAUU